rnacentral:rRNA from 1 species
GACGAACGCUGGCGGCAUGCCUAAUACAUGCAAGUCGAGCGAACAUUCAUAGAGCUUUGCUUCUAUAAGUGUUAGCGGCGGAUGGGUGUGUAACACGUGUGCACCCCCUCCUGCAGUUGGAUAUAACCCCGGGAACGCGGGUCAUAUAGCAGAUAAUCAUGAUCCCCACGUUGACAUACUCUAAGACACGGCUUCUGUCGCCACUAGAUGGUUGCCCCGCGCCGCAUUAGGUAGUUGGUGUGAUAACGGCCUACCAAGGCAACGAUGCGUAGCCGACCUGGGAGGGUGAUCGGCCACACUGGAACUGAGACACGGCCCAGACUCCUACGGGAGGCAGCAGUAGGGAAUCUUCCACAAUGGGCGGAAGUCUGAUGGAGCAAUGCCGCGUGAGUGAAGAAGGUUUUCGGAUCGUAAAGCUCUGUUGUGAGGGAAGAACAAGUACGGAAGUAACUGCGCGUGCCUUGACGGUACCUCAUUAGAAAGCCACGGCUAACUACGUG